GUGACGUUAGCUCAGUAUUGGUAGAGCGCCCGGUUGUGGUCCAGGUGGUCACGGGUUCAAGUCCCGUACGUCACC
rnacentral:tRNA from 1 species